rnacentral:rRNA from 1 species
ACUCAAAUGAAUUGACGGGGGCCCGCACAAGCGGUGGAACAUGUGGUUUAAUUCGAUGCUACGCGAAAAACCUCACCAGGGUUUGACAUACAGGAAGUAGUGAACUGAAAGGGGAACCAACUGUCAAGUCAGUAGCCUGUACAGGUGCUGCAUGGCUGUCGUCAGCUCGUGUCGUGAGAUGUUGGGUUAAGUCCCGCAACGAGCGCAACCAUUAUCUCUUGUUGCCACCUUUUAUGACCGAAAGGUUAUGAGAGAGCACUCUAGAGAGACUGCCUGGGAUAACCAGGAGGAAGGUGGAGAUGACGUCAAGUCAGUACGGCCUUUAUGCCCUGGGCUACACACGUGUUACAAUGGGCAGCACAGAGGGUUGCCAACCCGCAAGGGGGAGCUAAUCUCUAAAAACUGUCCUCAGUUCAGAUUACAGUCUGCAAUCCGACUGUAUGAAGCCGGAAUCGCUAGUAAUGGCAGAUCAGCACGCUGCCGUGAAUACGUUCCCGGGCCUUGUACACACCGCCCGU